GAUUGUUUGUUCAUAUUCUUUUUGCCAUACUCUGUCUUCUCCCAUGGCAGGACAAAGAGGUUCUUUGUCCUUUACUGUCCUUCACUGCAAUUCUUUUCAGUGGCUUUGAAAAAAAGAAAACGUCCCUUUCCCCACUGAUAUGGAAAAAUCUAGUUCUACCCUUAUAGCCUUUAAAAUAGGUAUGGAAUUCUUUACUAGUGGAGGGGAGCUUGCGUCAUUCUUGUAAGUCAAUCUGUUUCCUCUUCAGAAAUGUUCUUGUGAUAUUGGGAUUAUAAUUGCUUUGCUUUAUAUGUAUUGGGAGGUGAAACACUUGGGAAAUCUCACUGUUGUUGUGUUGUUGUUCAGUCACUAAGUCAUGUCUGACUCUUUGCCACGCCAUGGAUGUAGCCUGCCAGGCUUAUCUGACCAUGGGAAUCCACCUGCCAAUGCAGGAAACGUGGGUUUGAUCCCUGGCUCGGGAAGAUCUCCUGCAGGAGGGAAUGGCAACCUACUCCAGUAGUCUUGCCUGCGAAAUCCCAUGGACGGAGGAGCCUGGCGGGCUAUAGUCCAUAGUGUUGCAAAAGAGUCAGACCCAACUUACUGACUAAACCACCACCACCAUUCAUGGAGUUUAGUGAUCUCUUUUUUUUUUUUAAUUGGAGAGCAUUUACUGAUCCUAAAGUUCUAUUUUAUUGUUUUUAAUUUUAUUUUUAUUAUGUAUUUCUGGCUGCAGUUGGUCCUUGUUGCUGCGUGCGGGCUUCUCCUUCUGGGGGCUUCUCGUUGCAGAAGGCAGGCUGCAGGGCGUGUGGGCUUCAGGAGUUGCACUGCGUGUGCUUAGUCGCCUCACAGCAUGUGGGAUCUUCCUGGACCAGGGACUGAACCGGUGUCUCCUGAAUUGGCAGGCGGAUUCUCAAUCCCUGAACUACCAGGGAAGUCCCUAGUGAUCUCUUCAAUAUUAGCAGGGCAAAAGAACUAACAAGGAAGAUGGAACUGGUUAUUUCUGGAAACCUGAGAGGACGCCUGUAAAUUCACAACACCAUGGGGGGAGGCUGAUUUGUG
ensembl:lncRNA